GGAAAGCACAAGCAGGUAAACGAAAGGCAAAGUUUGAUUUCUUAUCCAUUCUCUUCAGUUACAGGCACGCCAAUGGUUAAUAGCAUUAUCAAAACUAUUGAAGGAGACAGAAUAAUGGAAAUCAAUAAAUAUAAACACCAGGAACAUGUAAAGCCAGACACAUACUAAACUUAACAAACAAGACAAGAUAGCAUCCCCCGUGACUACAUAAGAAUAAAAGGCACCCAGGCAGUGAAAAAAACUCCUCCCGGCCCUUCGUAUAUGAGAGUGCAUAUGGAGAAAUACUUUCAGGUAUUAAGACAGACAUUUUAACCAAACUAAUUCUAGCAUGAAUAUCAUCCAAAACAACUUACCUAAUCGCCAUGGCCACAACAGAUUUUUCCCUCCCAAAACAAGAUCUGCUAAGCUAGCCAAUCUUUUUUUGUAGGAUCAGAAGCCCCUAGCUGAACAAGUUUUUGAAGACCUAUUCUAGAGAGCAACAGGACAUUUGCCUCAACAAGAACCUUCAUUAGGCUUGGAACAUAGAAAAAGAGCAAAAAAGCUUUUCUAAAAUACUCAAAACUUGUCAUGAGCUCUGUUCCAAUCUUACUUGACUCCAAACUUGAUAAGCUAUAAUGCAGUAUGAUCACAAAAAGAAAUCAUGAUUAUGGUGCAAAAAAAGUUGAAAUAUGAUGAUGAAAAUUAUGAGAACACCAUCACAUCCCAUGCAAGAAAACAACAAAAAUAAUGUAUGUUAAUUUCUUUUUUAUUAUUUUUUUUUCCUUUGAUGACCAAGAAAAGUAGGUUUUGACAUCUAACAGCACAAACUUGACAUCAAGGGAGAAUCUUGCGUCUGCGACGGGGAGUCUCUCGCCUCACAUACAUCUUCUCCGUCUCAUUCAGUGGUCUGCUUGAUCCAUCUGGCAAGCUUAUAAACUUCCAGCCACCACCACCUCCACGCUUCCCUCGUGGUCCCAUUUUCUCCACCAUGAAGUUCCAACCCUCAGAAGGACGCCGCCUACUAUAUUUGUGGCAUUUCACCUGCCCGGCCAUCUGUCCAAAUGGAAAACAAAAGAUGCAUAUAUGAAACUAAACGAAAAUUCAAAUUGAAUUUGACUGUAAAAUAGAUUUUCACAAAAAAAGCACAUGUAACAAGAUUCUGCUCCCCUUCACUUUGGCAUUGUAGAAACAUUCCCUGUUGAAACAUGCAAGUUUAGCUGCCUCGUGAUGUCUAUGGGAAAGCGAGCUUAAGCAAAACUUAGUGCUUGAGCUGAGAGAGUGUGUGGGGUUGGAUGAUAAUUACUCUCUCAUCUCAUGUUGAUUUUCAUCCUUUUUCCAGGUUAAAUGCAGGGAGCAUAUGUUACUCACUUUCAUUUUGUUGAAGUUCAUCUUCUGGACAAAUUCUUGAUAGAGCAUCUCAUCCUCUUUCAUGGAUAUCUCAUAGUGGACUUCAUCCAGGUCUUUGAUGGUACCAUCCCAACCCUCUGGCAUUACCUUGAAAUCAGGCUUAUAAGGAAGGGAGGCCACAUGAAAUUCUCGGUCAUGAGAAUUAAAAAAUUCUGGGCAAGUGUCAAGCAAAAGCUCCACAGAGCCAUCCAAGGGAUGGCCAAGUUUUUUCUCCUCUUCCUCCUCAAGUUGCUUCAGCCAAAGAAUGGCAUGCACCCGCUGUCUCAUAAUCCUAUAGUCCUUGGCAAGCCUCUCAACCGUGUAGACUUCAGGAUUCUCCUUGUGCAAGCGGUACAUCUCAGCCUUCUCCGAGUCCUUCAGGUAAGAUCCUCUUGCACCAGGCUCCCUUACUUGCUUCAAGAGCACACUUAUCUCACGCAACCUCUCACCCCAACCAUCCACAAAAGCCUUGCCCUUUCUGUUCUCUGCCUGCAAUUCUUCAAUCUUAUCAUCAAUCUCUUGCAUACUAGAGACCAAAGCAGUCUGAGAAGCAUCUAAUCCACCAGCGACAGUAGAGCUAAAAUCAGUCCUCUGACCCUCAAAGUCUCCAUCAAAAUGAUCCUUAGUCAAUCCAGUCGACCAUGAUGAAAUAGAUUCCCAACCUAGAUCAUCAGAACCACUCCCACCAAAAGAUCCACCCACCCCACUAUCCCAACCACCUUCCCCUUCGUUUCCAUCACCACCCCCAGACUUAGCUGAAAACACUUGUGCUCUAACUUGAAAAGGUGUUGAAACCCUUGUAACAUUUCCAAAAGUGGAUCUACUUGUGCCAAUGCCUAGUGCCCCAGAGGAGAAACGUGAUAGAACCCGAUGAAUAUUUUGCAUAUUUGCAACACUUAAUCCCAAAGAAGCAAAUCAAAACUCUUUGACUAUCUUUGCACAUUCAAUGAGUUUCCUCGAACUUUGGGGAUCAAGAAUGUUUGUUUUCUUCCAAAUACUGCAAGCAGAAAGAAUGAACAGGAGACUAUCUAACCAGUGAAAGAUUUGGUGGCUUU
rnacentral:misc_RNA from 1 species